rnacentral:rRNA from 1 species
UACGUAGGGGGCAAGGCGUUGUCCGGAUUUAUUGGGCGUAAAGAGCGUGUAGGCGGCUAGGUAGGUCCGUUGUGAAAACUCGAGGCUCAACCUCGAGACGCCGGUGGAAACCAUCUAGCUAGAGUCCGGAAGAGGAGAGUGGAAUUCCUGGUGUAGCGGUGAAAUGCGCAGAUAUCAGGAGGAACACCAGCGGCGAAGGCGGCGCUCUGGGCUGGCACUGACGCUGAGGAGCGAAAGCGUGGGGAGCGAACAGG